AUGAUUUUAGAUCCAAAAACAGUCAGUAUUGACACAUAGGCAGACAAUAUAAUUGUCCGGUCGACCUGAACUUACACUAUCUUAUUCUUUCUCCAUAGCAUGCAAAUGUAACCUCGUUCCCUGAGAAUGAUCUGACUCGUCAUGUUUCCCUCUUGAGUGCCAUAUUGAGAGUUAUGGACAUCAAAGCAGACAUCAUCACACAUUCUGAUCUUUUGUACCUCACCGAAACCAUUGAGAAGGCCACCCAACUCAAUAUAACAGCCGUUCCCACUGAAGUCUUCACGUCUAUGAUCCGCAAUUGCUUGGAACUUGUCAGCAGGCUCAUCAGCCCUGAUAUGGUUGAGCAUUGGGAGGAUUUGAUAGCACAAGGGAACUACCUAGGACCAUUGACAAUGCUGGAGAACAUUGAUAAGGUCUUGUGGAGACUGGCAGAUGUUCUCUGGGUCGAGCACAAAAGCUUCACAAUGUCAACAAAGAACAUGGAUAUUCAUCUGGAGCCGCGGAGGCUGGCGCAGAUGAGCUGCGGGUGUGUGUUCAAGCCCUCGGUUCACGGCAGUCAGUUCAGCAGCCACGAUGAGAUCCUCAUACCAGAGUCAGAAAUUCAGAGAGUCUUUUCUCUGGGUGAGACAUUGGGUAGUUUGCUUAUUUCUAUAGACGAAUGUCAUGAUUUCAGAUCUUAUUAAGAAGCAGCUGUUUUCUAAUAUUAUUUGACAGGCCACAAGGAAGUGAUGCUUAUUCAUACCUACUACAGUAACCUGUUAGAGAUGUUGUCCAGACUGGAGGUGAAAACCCUUGCUGACCAACAGGCAGACAAGAGGUUAGCAUGAGCCUUCUGAAUUUUCUACGCCAAUAUUAACGUUUAAAUCCUUUUCUUUGGAUUUAUAGUUGACUGCUGUCAUAAUGCACUAUUGUAACGCUGUUUUGUUCAUUUAUUUGCAGGCAUCACAUUGGUCAGCUGGCCACAGCAGUAAUCUCAGCAACAGUGCGGGAUGUUUCCAGGGCAGAAAAUGUUCCGGUCUCUGUCCAGUACACCCUAUCUUCUGGGAUUAUGGUACACAGACUCUUUUAAAAUGUUUAAAGGGGUCAUAUGAUGCUUUUUUAAAGAUCAUUAUUUUGUGUAUUUGGUGUAACAGAAUAUGUUGACAUGCUUUUUAAUGUUCAAAAAACACCUUAUUUUUCAAAUACUGUACAUUAUUGUAGGUACUCUAUCUAUGCCCCGC
ensembl:lncRNA